AUACUUUAAAUAGUAUGAAGUUAGCAUUUACUAAGUACAUAUUCACCAGAAAUUAGUCUUUGUAUUUUAUGACUAUAGCCCCAACUUACAGACAGAGAAACUGAGACACAGAAAUGUCCAGGGCUAAUGUGACCAUGUUUUGCUUUGCUUUUUCUUUUUUUUUUUUUUUUUUUUGAGAUGGGCUUUUGCCAUGUUGGCUAAGCUAGCCUCACACUUCCGGGCUCAAGAGAUCCUCCUGACCCAACCUGAAGAGCAGCUGGGCUAUGAGCAUGUGCCACCAGCUAACUUUGUCCUCUGGAGUCAGAGUCCAUGAGCUGAUGUUACCCAGAUGGUCCUGGGGUACCAAGUAUACCUGGGCUACAGCUUCACUGAGGUGGAUACUGUUCACCUUGGGCUCUCCCUCCAACACCCCUUCAAGAGCAGAUGUCCUGGCUGUGGGUUGCAAGCCCUGGCUGUCCUAGGGGUGCUUUGGAGAUGGAGGAAGGAGGGUGGGAUGGAGCCAGCAGAGCCAGAGUCACAGCACAGGCACUGCCGCCGAGGCCUCGACAGACCAACUUGUCCUGCUCCCCUCUGCCUGCACUGCAGAGAAAGAAGUUGGAAACGAUCCAAUAGUUGGCAAGAGCUGAAUAAAUAAUGAUAUCGCCAUAUGAUGAAGGACUUGCCACCUUUAAAAGAUGCUUAUUAACAUGCAAAGUUUUGUCUCUAAGGGCACAAUACAAACUAUGUAUACAUCAAGGAUAACACUUCGUUAAAAAAUGGCUAUGGGCCAAAAUGAUGCAAGAGCUACAUUUCGUGUAGAGGUGUUUCUCUAUUUCUUUACGUUUUCCUACACCUUCUAAAUUUUUCUAUAAUGCGAAUUUACUAUUAGAAGGUAAAGUAAAAAGAGUGGAAUGUUCAUGAAAUGAAGUGCUGUAAGUGGAGUCUUGCCAGUAAGAUGAAGCAGGACCUCACCAACUGCAUUUGAAAAUCUAUUAUUGAGUCCACUGGUCUAUUAGCAAUGUGGUCCCAUGUCCAGUCCCUUUUGGGCAGGCUUUUCCACACAGCAAGAUGUUUUAUUCUAAGCUUUAUCUCUCCAUUAUGCAUUUGUGGCAUCAUUUGGAAAGACAGAUGACAUUUC
rnacentral:lncRNA from 1 species